ensembl:scaRNA
UGGCUCAGUUUCCUGGGAGGUGGGCUCAGCCUACUCACCUCCCCUCAGCUGAGCCUAGAGUAGAGGGGCCAGGUGUUCACCUGUGUGGGAGAGGUGUUUAAGAAAGCCUUGCCCAGGUUAUCCCAGCCUCACAUUU